CUGAACAAGUCUCUUCAUUCGCACAUGCUGUUCAGAGUCUGGCUGGCAGAGUUCUCCCAUCUUUUUAGUCCAGCUUUGCUUGUUAGAAACGCACUAGUUUCUUUUUGUACUCUACCUUUGACGGGUGAGGUCUCACUGGUUGUUUGGACUGCUUGUUUUUUUCCAUCAACUUUUUUUCCAGCACCAUCAACUGAAUCUUUCCUUUUCCUGGGAAAGAGCACAAUUGCAGCCAGGUUGUCAGACUAACUCCCCAGGAGGUUAAUUCAGCCUCUUUGUGUGCAAAAACUGCCGCAAUGAUCAUCAGGCUGGGCAGACUGACCCCUGGAUACUUCCGUCUCCUGCAGAGGCAGGUAGCAGGUGAGGUGCAGGCCCCAACACACGACCGCUCCGUCAACCAAAUCGCCAUGAUGCUGGCCAUCAUGGGCCUUGGCAUGUCCUACUACAGUGCCAAGCAGAUGACGGAAAAGGUGCACCAAGCGCCUGCCCUGUGAAGAUGCACCUAGCUCCGGUUUGUUGGUAUCCGGAGAAGACGUAUCCAAAUUGGAGAUGGAAGUUGGAAUUACCGAGAUUACCAUAUGCAUCCAAUAUCACACUACACCCUUUCUAUAUCAUUUAGACACUGGAUUUUCAAGGAUCACACACCACAGGGAAGCGAGUUUGGGGCUUCUGUUAAGGGUUCACUUGCUUUAUUGUAGCACUCAAUGGGGUCUGGAGAUGGUUAAAUGAUUCCUCGUCUUGGCUUGUUGGCUUCUCCUACAGGUGUGGCCUGAAUCUUGAUAGUUGCCAUGGUACAUGCACCAGAGAGUCAAUUUUGCUGUAAAUUUACAGGGAAAAACUUGGUCUCUACCAGUGCAUAAUAAGAUGCACAACUUGGGGGAGCACUACAAUGAGCCAUAAUACAUUUUAAAGGGAAGGACCUCUGUGUUUGAGAUGUACCAAGCAACUAUUCAAAGCAGGCCCACUACACUUUGUAGGACAGUAAAACUGGUUAUAUUGGAGAUUUACCCCAUAAAGAUGUCUUGCUAUUGAAGAAGAAUUCACAGAGCCCUGACAACAUUUAGUUCUACAAUAGUACACUUGUUGAGUAUUUAUGUGUUAGACACUUUGGAAAUAUUGCAAUACUAUGCAGAGUAACUAAUGUUAAAGGGACCUGUUCUUGUCUUAACUUGAGUAAAUGUCUUCGUAACAUCUUGUUGAUUGUCCUGACAAAUGGUGAAUAACCCAACAAUACCCAUUAGACGUUCAUGCCUACUUUCUCUGUGUGCAAUUGCAUGAGUUUGAAGCUGUGUUUUUUGUGAAACCAAUCCAUAACAUUGUUUCUAAUUCUUUUUUAUGAUAAUGUGAUUAUGAUGAAUGUAUGUUGUAUUUUUUAAAAAACUGAUCAAAUAAAGCUGUGAAUAUUUUGAACAAGAUCAAAGUUAUGAACCGGAAGACUACAGAAGGUUAAAGAAUGUUAUAUUAUGAAACCUUUUGGGGACUGAAUAGCUCUCUCGGAAAUUGCUGAUAAAAUGUCAAUCCUGCAGAUUUGUAGACGGACAUCUGAGGCCUGCGCCGAAACCAUAUAAAAGGCUUUCCUUUCCACAGAAGCGUGCUGUCGAACAGGAUGUGGGCAUAGCUUCAGGCAACAACUUCCUCUCUUGGCAUAAGAUAUUUGUCAACCAGCUGCCUGUUGUUCUGAGCUUGAUGCGUGACAUAGUUAACAAUCUGAACAUACCCACACAAUGAGUAUUUUGCAUACCGUUUAACUUGAGGUGUGUCUUGCCUUCUGAAAAGCUGAGCAUUUUAGGCCAGAAACAUACUCGAGCAUUCGCAAGUAUGUGACCGCUGACACUUCUAGCUACAAAAGAUCUACGUAUUUUUGCACUUCAGUACGUGUGCAUUCUCAUCAUUGCCGCAAAGGAUGCUAUAGCAGACUUGAGCAUAAACACGAUAUGCCUAGCUAAGCUAGCUCUAUUAAACGCAUUGUUGCAUUCCAAAAUGCGUCACCAUGCAAUUCAUAACAUAUUGCCAGUAUGUUUUGCAUUCGCCGCAUUGCCACAAAGGAUGCUAUAGCAGGCAUUAACAUAAGCACAAAUGUGCCUACCUACACUAGCUCUACCCUUAGAAAAAAAUCUAAACUAGUUGCAAAUUUGCCCCUUUUUAUUUUCUCAUACAAAUUAGCUUUUGAUUCACUGCAUUUAUUUACCAGAAGUUUGCAGCUUUUCGGCGGUAGUAGCGAUCCUUUGGCAACAAUGUACAAUUUGCUGCAUACAAUUUGUCACGUUUGCCGCAAAGCUCAUUUGCAUGUGAAAAUGAUCAGUGGCGAAUUUGUGGGAAAUUGGGAAUUGAGCCCAUUGUUGCCUUCCGAAAUUUGUCACUGCAAUUAAUAACGUAAUGCCAGUAUGUGUUGCAUUCUCAGCAUUGCCACAAGGAAUGCUAUAGCAGGCAUUAGCAUAAACCCAGAUAGCUAUGCUAGCUCUAUUGAGUGCAUCGAUGCUUUCGAAAUGUGUCACAAUGCAAUUCAAAACAUAACUCAAGAACGUGUUGCAUUCUCCGCCAUGCUACAAGGAAUGCUAUAGCGAGCAUUAGCAUAAACCCAGAUAGCUACGCUAGCUCUAUUGAGCGCAUUGAUGCUUUCGAAAUGUGUCACAAUGUAAUUCAAAACAUAACGCAAGAACGUGUUGCAUUCUCCGCCAUGCUACAAGGAAUGCUAUAGCAGGCAUUAGCAUAAACCCAGAUAGCUGCGCUAGCUCUAUUGAGCGCAUCGAUGCUUUCGAAAUGUGUCACAAUGCAAUUCAAAAAGUAAUGCAAGAACGUGUUGCAUUCUCCGCCAUGCUACAAGGAAUGCUAUGGCUAUUAGCGUAAAUGCAGAUACUUCUAGAUAUGCUAGCUCAAUUUAACAUAUUGUUGAAUGCUGAAAUGUGAUUGACAUUGGUAACACAAUGCAAGUACUAUUAAUAUCUCAAUGUUUUCGUAAGGAGUGCUAUUGCUGGCAUUAGUCUUUUACAGUCAAUUUUCUCUUUCUAGUCAGCUAGUAUGGCGCAGGAACCGUUUGAAAAUGGUUCCUUAGCGAGUUUGAUAAUACAAACGUGUUUAUAGCUAGCUAAAUGGAUAAUAAUCCAGUUUAACGGCACAGACAUUUAAAGGUAAUCCUCCCCCUGAGAAGAAGGACUGCUGUUUUCAUUGUAACGUUAAAACGCACGUUAAAUAUAUACAAGCGUUGCGUAUUUGCGUAUGUUUCUGGCCUUACUCUGCUGUUCUAUCUGCUUGUUUUCUUGCAUUUUAUCAAUGUAACAUGUCGCCUUUUAUCAGAGAGCAGAUGUGCAAAUAGCAUGUUGAACAGCUGUAAAGUGUUGGAACACCUGAUAAGAUUGGAGUGAGGUUUAUUAGAGAAACUUGAUGUUCUGCAAAACUGGACUAUAUUAUCUUAGGUUAAUUUUGGGCCGAAUGGUCCGAAACAGCGUUACGGCACCUCAGAUUCAAAAACAACAACAAAACAUCACUGCUAAUCACUUCAUUCUACUUCUGUUAGGGCUCCCCCUCAUUAAAAAUCCCAAUUUAACUAUUGGCUAUUAUUGAAUCAGAAGUGUUUUGAUGUGUAUAAUUUGUUGAGCCUGUGAGGCAUGUGAAGGACAUUGGGAUGUUUCUUACCAGCAUGCUUUUUUGCUAUAUAGUGCUAAUCAUAGUUUUGCAAACAAACUGCCUUCAGAUGACACUGUAAUUAAUUUAUUGUUCAUUUCAAACCCUUUCUUUCCAUUACCAAGCAAGAGGCAGUUGCAGGUAUUGCGCCAGUGCUGUUGGGGCGGGGAAGUGGAUGUGCUCUUAAUCUUUGCAUGAAUGCUCAGGGCAGAUGGGAUGCCCUGUGACAAGCUAGGUCUGCAUUGCAUGAAACGUGCUAUUCUGCAUUUCACCGUUAGCUCCUCCUCUCGCCGCCUCUCUGAUCACUGGGCAAAUUUGCCAAAAAAAUACAGCUUGGGCUGUUUUGAUAUGUAAGCUUAGGACAUGAACCCAAACACAGUUGCCUCAUUGGCUGUCCGGUGAUGCAUCAUGAUGUCGUUACAGUUUCGAGCCACAGAAACAAAGAGACGGGGAUCACGUUGGCGACAGCGUAAUGCACACGGUUGCUUUACAAAAACGGCUUUUUAUAUAGAAGGGACAAAACAUGACUUAAUAUGAGUUAACAGUGGCCUUUUAUGUUUUAAAAUAUUUUGAUGAUGGUUAAUGUAAAAUUGAAGGAAAAUUAUUUUUAUAAUGAACACGUUGUGAUAUGUAAACAUUGUAAGACUGUUGUAAGUCUAUAUUCAUGUAUCCGAUUACGUAUGAGAGCUUCAUACAUGAAGGACUUUGCCUGAAAUAUGAAUUAAACCUACAGAAGUUCCCAUGAUGCACUCUGUGGGUCUGUACAGCUCAUGUAGCAAUUGUCUUGUUGUUGUUUUCUUUACCUCACAGCCACUAUUAUUUCAUAAACACACCCAUAUAUAGUUAAGAGGAUAGACAAAAUAUAUAUGCUUAAAAUAAAGAAGAAUGCUUCCCAUGUCUUUUGUUGUCAAAGUUGGCUGUGCGUGACAUUUUUGGGUGUUUAAAGAGUGAUAAUGUUGUGAAAUGCUGAUUAAGUUAUGUGCCUGAACAUCUGCUAAAAUCUCCCGCCUUUUCUGGCAACUGUUCAUUUGAGUAAUAUUUGCAGUUUGUCAAUUAAAUGUGCUUACCGUUACAUUUAAACAAUGUU